rnacentral:rRNA from 1 species
AUUGAACGCUGGCGGAAUGCUUUACACAUGCAAGUCGAACGGCAGCACGGACUUCGGUCUGGUGGCGAGUGGCGAACGGGUGAGUAACAUAUCGGAACGUAUCCAAUAAUGGGGGAUAACAAAUCGAAAGGUUGGCUAAUACCGCAUACGCCCUACGGGGGAAAGCAGGGGAUCUUCGGACCUUGCGUUAAUGGAGCGGCUGAUAUCGGAUUAGCUAGUUGGUGAGGUAAAGGCUCACCAAGGCGACGAUCAGUAGCUGGUCUGAGAGGACGACCAGCCACACUGGAACUGAGACACGGUCCAGACUCCUACAGGAGGCAGCAGUGGGGAAUUUUGGACAAUGGGCGCAAGCCUGAUCCAGCCAUUCCGCGUGAGUGAAGAAGGCCUUCGGGUUGUAAAGCUCUUUCGCAAGGGAAGAAAACUUACUUUCUAAUAAAGAGUGAGGUUGACGGUACCUUGAUAAGAAGCACCGGCUAACUACGUGCCAGCCGCCGCGGUAA